GCAUGUCCCUAAAGUGUAAUGGGUUUAUACUAUAGUCCAGUUGGAGGCGGUAAUGCAAGAGAUUGGAUGCCAACCACCAUUAAAGCCCACUGAAGAAGAAGAAUUUCGUCAUUGCAAAUAUUUUCCAAUAUAGUGAAAGUAAGAUUCCCGGCAAACCCGUUGUGAACACUUAAAACAAAGUAACUGUACUGCUGUAGCCAACACAUUUCUGGUCUAAGACAAGUUGUCUGAUGAAGAAACGCUAAAGAAACAAUAGAUUCUGCAAUGGAUCCGGACAAAGCUAGCCCGUUCCCCUCCACCCUCCCCGGGAGUCCCCAGGUCAAACGCCUCCCGGUACCGCUUUGGGUCUGGUCGACUGCAGGAAAACACCGGGGCAGAGUGGAACUGAGAGAGGAGGAGGAGAAGAGAAGGAAGAUGGAGAUUUGAUUUCAUUAAGUAAGAACCAUGGUGUGUAGAUUAGACUACAGUCUUCUUCUGUAACAAUAGUGGAGGUGCAUAAAGAUGGCUGCCCGCAUGUACUUACCACAAAUUCCUUGUUUUGCUAAAUUCACUGUAUUGUACAUUGCUCUCCUUUACUGUUUUUUUGGUAUGGUCAUUAGCAUUGUAAACAUGAUCC